GAUGAACGCUGGCGGCGUGCCUAAUACAUGCAAGUCGAGCGAACAGACGAGGAGCUUGCUCCUCUGACGUUAGCGGCGGACGGGUGAGUAACACGUGGAUAACCUACCUAUAAGACUGGGAUAACUUCGGGAAACCGGAGCUAAUACCGGAUAAUAUAUUGAACCGCAUGGUUCAAUAGUGAAAGACGGCUUUGCUGUCACUUAUAGAUGGAUCCGCGCUGCAUUAGCUAGUUGGUAAGGUAACGGCUUACCAAGGCAACGAUGCGUAGCCGACCUGAGAGGGUGAUCGGCCACACUGGAACUGAGACACGGUCCAGACUCCUACGGGAGGCAGCAGUAGGGAAUCUUCCGCAAUGGGCGAAAGCUUGACGGAGCAACGCCGCGUGAGUGAUGAAGGUCUUCGGAUCGUAAAACUCUGUUAUUAGGGAAGAACAAAUGUGUAAGUAACUAUGCACGUCUUGACGGUACCUAAUCAGAAAGCCACGGCUAACUACGUG
rnacentral:rRNA from 1 species